GUUAAUCUAGAAUUGUAAAUCAUACAUGUUUGUCUCUUUUAUUCAUGUGAAUGCCAGAACCAAGGAGAAGCUUAUAGAAGUGAUAGUCAAGUACCUUAAGAUGUUACCUUACUUGAAGAGUGAUGGUACAGUAUCACCUUGUGGAAGCUUUCCUCUCUUAGCGGUUGUGCAUCGUGUUUGUGGCACCCUCCAUGGAUCAUCUAUUGUGAGCUAUGCCUUCCUUGUGUAAAUUGUUAACCUUGAUGCGUCUCUCUCUUUGUCUCCAAUGUGAGUUUAUCUCAGGACUUCACAGGUCGAUAUUGAAAGUUCUCCUGCAGGGGUUAGUCC
rnacentral:lncRNA from 1 species